UGUCGGGUUUCCCGCCUUGUAGUCGCAGG
rnacentral:sRNA from 1 species